rnacentral:lncRNA from 1 species
AUGCGAAGAACGACAAAAGGCUGGUACACGAGGGAUGCAGAACAGAAGCUUUUUGGAUGGGAUCUGAAAAAGCAAGACACGAAUGAAGAGCAGCAGGAGAUGCAUGGAGAAGGAUCUAACUGCCUAUUUUUCACAAGGAUGUCUAAACGAACAAAACUUGGAGGGCCUAGCACAGAGCCUGGCACAUGGUGGGUGUGCGAUACAUGUCUGGUGCACUGCUCCAAAGCUGAUAACAUCUCCUCCAAGUAAAGAGUUUCACAGAUUCUUCCCAUUUUAAAGAGAAAAGACUUAAUUUUAUAAACACCAUGUGUUCUGGGUUUUUUUUUUCCUGCUUCUUUCCUUGCUCCUGAGUUUAAAGAAAGGUAUGAACGGUAAUGCAGUUUAUAGCUGCUUCAUCUGGGUUAACUCACUGAGUCCUGUGAGGCAGAUCCAGCUAUCAACCCCCCCUUGAACAGAUAAGAAAACUAGCACUCACAGGGGCCACUGACCUGUCACAUGAUGUGUCAAUGGC